rnacentral:rRNA from 1 species
UACGUAGGGUGCAAGCGUUGUCCGGAAUUAUUGGGCGUAAGGGCUCGUAGGCGGUUUGUCGCGUCGGGAGUGAAAACCCAGGGCUUAACCCUGGGCUGGCUUCCGAUACGGGCAGACUAGAGGUAUGCAGGGGAGAACGGAAUUCCUGGUGUAGCGGUGAAGUGCGCAGAUAUCAGGAGGAACACCGGUGGCGAAGGCGGUUCUCUGGGCAUUACCUGACGCUGAGGAGCGAAAGUGUGGGGAGCGAACAGG